rnacentral:misc_RNA from 1 species
GCAUCGAACUACUUGUCCAAAUCCUCUUCAGGUUUUCAUGCAUUACCUUGGUUAAUGCAUUGUGGCAGAAUGGGUUCCUGUACUUCGUACCGACGUUGGUGGAAAUUAUAGUUUUCGAUGUCUCAAUCUAUUUGUGCCUUUCGUGGGUGUCGGGUGGACGACGUAGCUUUGAUUCAUUUAAACCUAUCUUGCCAUUUGGCAGCGUAGGUAGUUGGAUCUUAGUUUGCGCUCUCGGAUGCGGAAUUCAUUUGUGGGUGAAAGGAUUAGUCCUUGUUCUUGCCUCGUGACGGAAAUUGUCCCUUUAUACGGAUGACGUCCUUUGUGCGCUACGAUGUGUCUGUCGUUUGUUCGACUCAACGAUACCUCGUGCGUGCCUUGGAGUCUUUUUAUAAGGAAUGCUACCUGGUUGAUCCUGCCAGUAGUCAUAUGCUUGUCUCAAAGAUUAAGCCAUGCAUGUGUAAGUAUGAACUAAUUCAGACGGUGAAACUGCGAAUGGCUC